UUAGAGUUUGAUCCUGGCUCAGAUUGAACGCUGGCGGCAUGCCUUACACAUGCAAGUCGAACGGCAGCACGGGAGCAAUCCUGGUGGCGAGUGGCGAACGGGUGAGUAAUAUAUCGGAACGUGCCCAGUCGUGGGGGAUAACGCAGCGAAAGCUGUGCUAAUACCGCAUACGAUCUCUGGAUGAAAGCGGGGGACCUUCGGGCCUCGCGCGAUUGGAGCGGCCGAUAUCAGAUUAGCUAGUUGGUGGGGUAAAGGCCCACCAAGGCGACGAUCUGUAGCUGGUCUGAGAGGACGACCAGCCACACUGGAACUGAGACACGGUCCAGACUCCUACGGGAGGCAGCAGUGGGGAAUUUUGGACAAUGGGCGCAAGCCUGAUCCAGCAAUGCCGCGUGCAGGAUGAAGGCCUUCGGGUUGUAAACUGCUUUUGUACGGAACGAAAAGGCUCUUUUUAAUAAAGAGGGCUCAUGACGGUACCGUAAGAAUAAGCACCGGUUAACUACGUGCCAGCAGCCGCGGUA
rnacentral:rRNA from 1 species